GGAGAGGCUGGACAACGCUGGGAGGAGCAAAGAGAGUAAAUGGCUUUCCCAGUUUGGUGUGGACGAACUUGACUGGUUUACACAGAGCCCUGACCUCAACCCCAUCCAACGGCUUUGGGAUGAGGUGGAGCACCGACUGUGAGCCGAACAUCGGCGUUGGACCUCACUGAUGCUCUGGUGUCUGAAUGGGAGAAACAUCUGGUGGAAGGUCUUCCCACAUACUGUCCACAUACAUUUGGCCACGUACUAUUGUCUCAAUAAGCAGAGAAAGGAGAACAUAUGAUGUGCCAGUUUCUGUGUUUUACAGUACUCUAUAAAAACAUAAUAAAAUCUUUAUUUAAAAACUAAAUAUAUGGUACUGCAGCAGUUUUGAAAAGGCUCGAUUUUCUUCCUCUAUCCUACUCCAGGGACAUUUUUGAACUUUGGUCCACAUUUCAUAUUAACUAUUUGCUUAACCACAUUGCUUUUUGUUGCAAAGAGGAUGUCUCCACUGGGAGAAACUUUUGCAGGAGAGCAAAGCCCUUUUUUGGGGGGGGAGGGGUUUGUGCUGUAAAAAUAAUCUCGCUUUGCA